GAGUAGUUGGUUGAACAUUUUGGACAAUUGCAUUACGUGAACGACAAACGCUGCGCGUAUGGAUGUGAAUGGAUACAGGUUCGCACCAAGAUACAGCCUGGCAGAUGCUGGAUGAUAGCGCACGCUCCGCUACAGCUCCAGCACCAGCUCCCACAUGGCCACAUUAUGUGCUGCCACGGCCGAUGUCCUCUGAAUACGCUCAUUAUAGUAUCGAUCACCUUUCAUGCGCCACAAUUGAGGAUGGAGUAAGAGAUACAAUCGCAUCAUGGCCAAGCCGCUGCAGAUACAUGCUGAAAUGCAAAUGUAAUACCGAAAGGGCCGCGGGGCACACAUUUUGAGCAGCGAUAUAAGUUCAAAACAUGGGAGUAGAAAAAUUACAGCUGUUAAGGACGUAAAAGGAAUAUAUAGGAAUAUAGGUAGAUAUUUUAAAGAUAUGUAUUUUAAAGCCACU
rnacentral:lncRNA from 1 species